UCAGAACGAACGCUGGCGGCGUGGAUUAGGCAUGCAAGUCGCACGAGAAAGCUCCCUUCGGGGGGCGAGUAAAGUGGCGAAAGGGUGAGUAAUGCGUAGAUAACCUACCCUCGAGAUUGGGAAAACAGUUCGAAAGGGCUGCUAAUACCAAAUGGUACGGGGAGCUUCGGCUCUCUUGUUAAAGGUGGGGACCUUCGGGAGGAGGGGUCUACGUCCUAUUAGCUUGUUGGUGGGGUAACGGCCUACCAAGGUGACGAUGGGUAGCCGGCCUGAGAGGGUGUCCGGCCACACUGGAACUGAGACACUGUCCAGACUCCUACGGGAGGCUGCAGUCGAGAAUCUUCCGCAAUGGGCGAAAGCCUGACGGAGCGACGCCGCGUGGACGAUGAAGGCCUUCGGGUUGUAAAGUCCUUUCGCGCAGGAGGAAAUGCUGCGUUCCAGCGCAGCUUGGCAAAAGCGUGGGAGGAAGCCACGGCUAACUUCGUGCCAGCAGCCGCGGUAAGACGAAGGUGGCAAGCGUUGCUCGGAAUCACUGGGCAUAAAGAGCGCGUAGGUGGCUUGGUAAGCGGAGAAUGAAAGCUCAUGGCUCACCCAUGGAAUUGUUCUUCGAACUGCCAGGCUUGAGGGUGAGAGGGGGAAGUGGAAUUCCUGGUGUAGCGGUGAAAUGCGUAGAUAUCAGGAGGAACACCGGUGGCGAAGGCGACUUCCUGGCUCAUUCCUGACACUGAGGCGCGAAAGCUAGGGGAGCAAACAGGAUUAGAUACCCUGGUAGUCCUAGCCGUAAACGAUGGGCACUAGGUAGAGGAGGCGUCGAUACCUUCUCAGCCGAAGCUAAUGCAUUAAGUGCCCCGCCUGGGGAGUAUGAUCGCAAGGUUAAAACUCAAAGGAAUUGACGGGGGCUCACACAAGCGGUGGAGUAUGUGGUUUAAUUCGAAGCAACGCGAAGAACCUUACCGGGGUUUGACAUGCAUGGAUUAGCCUCCUGAAAGGGAGGUGACGCCCUUCGGGGUGGAACUUGCACAGGUGUUGCAUGGCUGUCGUCAGCUCGUGUCGUGAGAUGUCGGGUUAAGUCCCUUAACGAGCGAAACCCUUGUCUUUAGUUGCCAGCGGGUAAUGCCGGGGACUCUAGAGAGACUGCCGUUGUUAAAACGGAGGAAGGUGGGGACGACGUCAAGUCAUCAUGGCCUUUAUGUCCGGGGCUACACACGUCCCACAAUGGCCGGUACAAAGGGAAGCGAAGCCGCAAGGUGUAGCAAAUCCCACAAAGCCGGUCCCAGUUCGGAUCGAGGGCUGAAAUUCGCCCUCGUGAAGUCGGAAUCGCUAGUAAUCGCGGAUCAGCUACGCCGCGGUGAAUAUGUUCCUGAGCCUUGUACACACCGCCCGUCAAGCCACGAAAGUUGACAGUACCUGAAGUCGUGCACCCAACCUUCGGGAGGGAAGCGCCCACGGUAAGGUCGAUGAUUGGGACUAAG
rnacentral:rRNA from 1 species